GUCGAGAAUCUUUCACAAUGGGGGCAACCCUGAUGGAGCGACGCCGCGUGGAGGAUAAGGUCUUCGGAUUGUAAACUCCUGUCAUGCGUGAACAAGGUUGCUUGGUUAAUACCUGGGCAAAUUGAUGGUAACGCAAGAGGAAGAGACGGCUAACUCUGUGCCAGCAGCCGCGGUAAUACAGAGGUCUCAAGCGUUGUUCGGAAUCACUGGGCGUAAAGGUUGCGUAGGUGGCGUGGUAAGUCAGAUGUGAAAGCCCGGGGCUCAACCUCGGAACUGCAUCCGAUACUGCCAUGCUAGAGUACUGGAGAGGUGACUAGAAUUCUCGGUGUAGCAGUGAAAUGCGUAGAUAUCGAGAGGAAUACCAAAGGCGUAGGCAGGUCACUGGACAGUUACUGACACUGAGGCACGAAGGCCAGGGGAGCGAACGGGAUUAGAAACCCCGGUAGUCC
rnacentral:rRNA from 1 species